rnacentral:rRNA from 1 species
CCCUUAGAUGUCCUGGGCCGCACGCGUGCUACACUGACACUUACACCGAGUUUUUCCAGCCCCGAGAGGCGGCUGGUAAUCAGCAAUAGGCGUCGUGAUGGGGAUAGAUCUUUGGAAUUAUGGAUCUUGAACGAGGAAUGCCUAGUAAGCGCAGGUCAUUAGCCUGCGCUGAUUACGUCCCUGCCCUUUGUACACACCGCCCGUCGCUACUACCGAUUUCGAGUGGUCCGGUGAAGCUUUUGGACUGCGCGUGGCUUCGUGCCGUGUCGCGGAAAGUCAGCUAAACCUUAUCACUUAGAGGAAGUAAAAGUCGUAACA